GCAUGGUAAUGGAUUUAUGGUGGGUCCUCCUCUGUGGGCCUCUCAUAGUGUACCCAUGCCACAGAAAAUUGCAGCCUUGAACCAUUGCCCAGCCUCCUUACCUGUGGGCUGUGAGUACUGAAGGGGCUUUAUACAG
ensembl:snoRNA